rnacentral:rRNA from 1 species
CCUACGGGAGGCAGCAGUGAGGAAUAUUGGUCAAUGGACGAGAGUCUGAACCAGCCAAGUAGCGUGAAGGAUGACUGCCCUCUGGGUUGUAAACUUCUUUUAUCUGGGAAUAACAUGUUCCACGUGUGGGAUUUUGUAUGUACCAUAUGAAUACGGAUCGGCUAACUCAGUGCCAGCAGCCGCGGUAAUACGGAGGAUCCGAUCGUUAUCCGGAUUUAGUGGGUUUAAAGGGAGCGUAGGUGGAUUGGUAAGUCAGUUGUGAAAGUUUGCGGCUCAACCGUAAAAUUGCAGUUGAAACUGGCAGUCUUGAGUACAGUAGAGGUGGGCGGAAUUCGUGGUGUAGCGGUGAAAUGCGUAGAUAGCACGAAGAACUCCGAUUGCGAAGGCAGCUCACUGGACUGCAACUGACACUGAGGCUCGAAAGUGUGGGUAGCAAACAGGAUUAGAUACCCUGGUAGUC